GCGCGCCCGCCGCCGGCCUGUCACGGCAAGUCGGCCAUGGCGCCUUGGAAUCUGGUCGAGCCGCUGGGCCACAAGCCCACCGACAGGCGCAGCAGGGAUAUCGCCGGCAGCAGCCGUAGUGAUCCCGCGCAGUUCGCCCGCUGAGCACUCUGCGGGCCGACGUGAAUGCUCGACACCCCU
rnacentral:sRNA from 22 species